UGCAAGUCGAACGGUGAAGGGAAGCUUGCUUCCCGGAUCAGUGGCGAACGGUGAGUAACACGUGGGCAAUCUGCCCCAGACUUUGGGAUAACUACUCGAAAGAGUAGCUAAUACCGAAUAUUCAGCCUUUGCAGGCAUCUGCGAGGCUGGAAAGUUUCUCGGUCUGGGAUGAGCCCGCGGCCUAUCAGCUAGUUGGUGAGGUAAUGGCUCACCAAGGCGACGACGGGUAGCCGGCCUGAGAGGGCGACCGGCCACACUGGGACUGAGACACGGCCCAGACUCCUACGGGAGGCAGCAGUGGGGAAUAUUGCGCAAUGGGCGAAAGCCUGACGCAGCAACGCCGCGUGCGGGAUGAAGGCCUUCGGGUUGUAAACCGCUUUCAGCAGGGAAGAAGCGAAAGUGACGGUACCUGCAGAAGAAGCACCGGCUAACUACGUG
rnacentral:rRNA from 1 species